UGCGAUGUGCCCCGCCCCUCCCCUUCGUCACCGAUGCCGGCGAGCGCGCAGUUCCUUGAUCUGCCCCGCCCCUUCGUCACCACUGCCGGCGGGCGCGCAGGCCCUUGAACUGCCCCGCCCCUUCGUCACCACUGCCGGCGGGGCGCGCAGGCCCUUGAACUGCCCCGCCCCUUCGUCACCACUGCCGGCGGGGCGCGCAGGCCCUUGAUCUGCCCCGCCCCUUCUUCAUAUAAGGUCGCCGAGGUGGCCGAGGAGGCGCUCAAGCUCGUCAUGCGCGCCGGCGACGCCGGGGCCCUCCAUCCUCCUAACGCACUUGCCGUCGCCGACAUGAGCGUCUCCACCUUCUCCCGCGCGCCAUGAACUUCCCUUCCCCACUGCUCAGGACGCCAGCAAGGAGCAGGAGUUCCUUCCUUCCAUGGAUGACCACGAAGAGCUCUGCGUGCUGUGCUGCUGCUCGGGACCCUCCCUUCUCAUCGCUCGUCCGGGUCCAGAUACAGAAGGUUUAGUUCAGUGGCUGUGCUGGACAGGAGGGGCCAGGGAAUUGCUUUAAGUUGUUCCAAGAGAUGUGAGCCUGAUAAAACGAUGACAUAGCAAAUUUCCACUGUGGUCUCCUUGCAGGACCACUCUCAGUGGUUGGCCCUCCUGUUCACUUACACAAAAACAGAAGGCAGAAGAUGAUAUUGACCCUGCUGUUGAGCCGCAAACAUAGAAUGUUGCUUUGGCAGGUCAAAGGAAGAAGCAGGUCGAAGGAAGAAGUUUAGACUAAAGACAUGGUCAAAGGAAGAAGCAGGUCAAAGGAAGAAGUUUAGACUAAAGUGGAGAGAAGAAUUUUACAGCUGCGUGUAUCCGGCUGGCUGCGACGGCAGGGCGGGCUGUACCAGUGGGGAUCUCCCGUAGGGAUGC